UUCAAUAUUGAAACAGAAGCUUCAACACAGAUCAUCACAGAAGUGGAAACAGUGAUUAAGCCACACAGCUUUAUUAUCCAGCUAUGUAGCUCUGGCAAGAAACUGAUGACAAGAAGAUGAGAAUACUGAUAUCUGACUGCAUACUUACAGUACAGAUUAAUGUGUUUGAUGUGAAUGCAUUCCCUUGCAUAUCACUUGUAAUAAAGUUUUUGAUUGCUUUUAUUGACUGAAGAUUAGCACUUUAUUUAGUUUUUUAUUUUAUUAUCACUUUCAUAUUAAAUUUUAGUUUUUAUGCACUGUUAUCAAGUUUGUUUUACAAAGAGAACGCAGCUUUUUCGCCACAAUCUGCAACCGAGAACAUAAAUGUUAAAGAUAAAGAGUGUAUGUCAUCUCAGACAGGAAGUGUUUUGAUGUUAACUGUAUAAGGAAUGGAAUCAGAUGCUAAAUGAUCUUAGAAUACAUGCUAAUGUGUUUGAAUUGUCUGAUUUGUUUGGCUCGAGCAAAUAAAGUUAUUUUUGUUUGGCACUUGAAACCUUAAUUCUUAUUAAGAAAUAAGCAAAGAUUUUUGCCAUAUCCUGUGGUGGCUACUGAGCUGUUGGUUGCUAGAUGAUGCAAAAUCUCCUUUUGCAGCUUUAAAUCAAGCAUGCAUUAUCUGUUUGCAAAGAUUUUAUCUUUGUGAACAGAAAACAGACUUGCAAAAAUGAAAUCAAACCUUAUUAUGAAAUGUGUAUAAUGUUGUGCUGUAAAUGAGAUCCAAUAUUCAUCAAGUAAUAUUUAAGUGACAUGAUGUGAACAUCAUUUUGUGCAGUUAACCUGAAAACCCUUGUGGGUUUGUGAUCAUGCUUUGUUUGUGCUUGUUGAGCCUUUAGUUGCUCAAUUGCAUAAUCUGUAAACAUUAUAGCCUUAUGUCUUUGUGAUCAUGCUUUGUUUGUUUGUGUGUGGUGCAGUUGUAGUAAAGGUCAGGUUGGUCAA